AACGUAGGAGGCAAGCGUUAUCCGGAGUUACUGGGCGUAAAGCGUAUGUAGGCGGUUGUACAAGUUGCGUGUGAAAGCGCCCGGCUAAACUGGGCGAGGCCACGUAAGACUGUAUAACUAGAGGGUGGUAGAGGGGCGUGGAAUUCCGGGUGUAGCGGUGAAAUGUGUAGAGAUCCGGAGGAACACCAGUGGUGCAGACGGCGCCCUGGGCCACUACUGACGCUGAUAUACGAAAGCGUGGGGAGCGAACGGG
rnacentral:rRNA from 1 species